CAACAUCGCGAGGUAGAAGACAACUACCCAAAAAAGUGUCUCAGUUCAGAUUGUAGGCUGCAACUCGCCUACAUGAAGUCGGAAUUGCUAGUAAUCGUAGGUCAGCAUACUACGGUGAAUACGUUCCCGGGGCCUUGUACACACCGCCCGUCAAACCAUGAGAGUUGGCAACACCCGAAGUCGGUAGUCUAACCGCAAGGAGGACGCCGCCGAGGUGGGGUUGAUGAUUAGGGUUAAGUCGUAACAAGGUAAC
rnacentral:rRNA from 1 species